ensembl:processed_transcript
CACUUCACUUAAUUACUAACACCUGACCUGCAGUGCAGCAGAAUUCAGAGGUAAGCGUGUUUUUAGAUGCUUUAAUGUUUUAUUUACCCCCCGAUUUUGUUUUACACACAGUGUAUCUUAAAUGUGACUUAGUGUAUUGUUUCGAAUUUUGAAGCAUUUAAAACUUUCCAGUUUGGUUUAGUUUGCGCUCCGGUGACGCGCAGCUAACCUCGAGGUAAUGUCACAUGUUUAACGUUAGUCUAAAUGAGCGUUUUUAUGGCAAAUUCAAAGCGAUAAACUCCAAACGCAGUUUAAAGUUACUGAGCAACGUUAUAAAACAAUAUCAUUUUUAUACGCUGUAUCAUUAGUGUUAUUAUUACAAAGUGAACUGCUUUCGUUUCACUGUUGUUGUUGUUUUUGCUUUUAGACAUGUAACUUAACGUACUCCAGAGACGCACUCACUUGCACAGCAUUGAAUGGAAAAGGCUUUGUCCAUGUCCAGUUGAGGGCAUCAAGAACACGCAGAUAGCAUAAACCUGUGUCAGCCUGGACAGACUGUAGAUCUGCUACUCAACGCCAAGGCUUUUGUAUGCAUGUCUGACUACUACAGUGUUCUUUAAAGGUUUUCUGGAAGCUCCAUUUGAGGGCAUCAAGGACAUACUGAUGGCCUAAACCAGUGUCAGCCUAGACAGACAGACAUCUAUUGCAGUUCUGCUACACAAGACCAAACUCUCUGCUUUUGUAUGGAUGUCUGACUAGUACAGUGUUCUCUAAAGGUAUAACUGGAGCAAAACAACAGCAUCCGUUACAGUGAAAUUUGUGUUCAUAAAAGAUAGUGAUAUAUGUGUAACAGGUCCAGUACAUUUGUCAUAAAGGUUAAAUCACAGUAAGUACUGUAAAAAUAACUUGUUUGCCUCUGCCACAACAGGUCAUGGUGUGUGCAUACUGCUCGUAGUAAACAC